GACGAACGCUGGCGGCGUGCUUAACACAUGCAAGUCGAACGGAAAGGCCCGGCUUUUGUGGGGUGCUCGAGUGGCGAACGGGUGAGUAACACGUGAGUAACCUGCCCUUGACUUUGGGAUAACUUCAGGAAACUGAGGCUAAUACCGGAUAGGAGUUAUUGCCGCAUGGUGGGGGUUGGAAAGAUUUGUCGGUUGGGGGUGGACGGGCGUGUGAUUAGCUCGGUGGUAGGGUAGUAGCCUACCAAGGCGUCGACGCAUAGCUGGUCGGAGAGGAUGACCAGCGACACUGGGGAUGAGACACGGCCCAGACUCCUACGGGAGGCGGGAGUGGGGGAUAUAGGACAAGGGGCGGAAGCAUGAGCCAGCCAUGCCGCGUGAGUGAUGAAGGCCUUAGGGUUGAAAAGCGCUUGUACCCGGGAUGAUAAUGACGGUACCGGGAGAAUAAGCGCCGGCUAACUCCGUG
rnacentral:rRNA from 1 species